rnacentral:tRNA from 1 species
ACACCGAUGGUGAAAUGGUUAUCAUGCUUGCCUUCCAGUUUAGCCUCAACUGCUACCACUAUUCUAAUUCAGCAAGCGGUAGGGGUUCGAUUCCCCUUCGGUGUA